rnacentral:rRNA from 1 species
GACGAACGCUGGCGGCGUGCUUAACACAUGCAAGCCGAACGCUGAAGCCCUUUCGGGGGUGGAUGAGUGGCGAACGGGUGAGUAACACGUGGGUAAUCUGCCCUGCACUCUGGGAUAAGCCUUGGAAACGGGGUCUAAUACCGGAUAGGACACAUCGCCGCAUGGUGUGUGUGUGGAAAGUUCCGGCGGUGCAGGUUGAGCCCGCGGCCUAUCAGCUUGUUGGUGGGGUGAGGGCCUACCAAGGCGACGACGGGUAGCCGGCCUGAGAGGGUGACCGGCACCACUGGGGCUGAGAAAGGGUCCGGACUCCUACGGGAGGGAGGAGUGGGGAAUCGUGCGCAAGGGGCGAAAGCCGGUCGCAGCGGCGCCGCGUGGGGGAUGACGGCCUUCGGGUUGUAACCCUCUUUCGACCGGGACGAAUGGUGACUGACGGUACCGGUAGAAGAAGCACCGGCUAACUACGUGCCAGCAGCCGCAGUAA